AGCACAAUACUGCCUGCUAAUACAGAGUUGUUGAUUAUGGAGAAAAGAGUGAAAUAGACGCUCGAGAGGGGUCAGGAAGUACCUCAAGAUGAAGUCUUCAAGAUUACUCACACGAGGAGUCGAAGAACGCCGAUGGUACAGACCAAUGGAUUGAGCCAAGGUCUUAGCAAACCUAUACCGAGUAUCAACAACACAAGUUGGAAUAUUGUGCUAGUCAGCCAGCCGAGACGUCAAUGACCAACGAGGUAAUUGAUCAGCAGUGGAUGGAGAAGGUUGCUACCCCGACAAGGUACGAGACAAUUUAUGGGAUCCCUAAUCGAGCCUGUCGUCAAUUCCCG